rnacentral:rRNA from 1 species
CCUACGGGGGGCAGCAGUGGGGAAUAUUGGACAAUGGGGGGAACCCUGAUCCAGCCAUGCCGCGUGUGUGAAGAAGGCCCUCGGGUUGUAAAGCACUUUCAGUGAGGAAGAACGCCUGGUGGUUAAUACCCAUCAGGAAAGACAUCACUCACAGAAGAAGCACCGGCUAACUCCGUGCCAGCAGCCACGGUAAUACGGAGGGUGCGAGCGUUAAUCGGAAUUACUGGGCGUAAAGCGCGCGUAGGUGGCUUGAUAAGCCGGUUGUGAAAGCCCCGGGCUCAACCUGGGAACGGCAUCCGGAACUGUCAAGCUAGAGUGCAGGAGAGGAAGGUAGAAUUCCCGGUGUAGCGGUGAAAUGCGUAGAGAUCGGGAGGAAUACCAGUGGCGAAGGCGGCCUUCUGGACUGACACUGACACUGAGGUGCGAAAGCGUGGGUAGCAAACAGGAUUAGAUACCCGAGUAGUC